ensembl:snoRNA
GCCCAAUGAUGAGACCAAGGCGAAUACGAGCCUCACUGAAUGAGAGCCGGGCGCCUCUCGCUGUGACUGGCAGGUAAUCUUGGCAGUGCAGGGGAGGAUUCCUGCACUGCUGUAAGGGCCUGCCGACACUGACUUGGCUCGUCCCAAAUGAUUCCUCUACAGUCACAGUGGAGUCACCACGGGACAGAGCUGACAGUUUUUGUUUGUUUGUUUGUUUGUGUUGUUUGUGUGUCUGUCUGUGUGUGUGAGUAUGUGUGUCAUUAGCACAGAGGUCACCCCGCUCUCGUUUCCCUUCAGUAGGCUGUGAUUUGUUUCUUUGGUAAUCUGAGGGUC